UUCUGCUGUAAAAAAUAAUAAAUGUCAGUAGGUAUAACCAAAAAUACUUUAAGCAACAGGAAAACGAGGAAAAUAACUUUUUUCUCAAAAACAUUUUUUAAAACAAAAGAGUAAGACUUAUUAUACCACUUUAUAAUUUAUUUAAUAGUAUGGCAUCUGUUAGCAAAACGAGAAAUUAAUUUCCAGAAUUAUUCAAGUAUGCCAGUAAGAAAUUGUUGUCUCGGCUGCCAAGGUCCAAUGCCAGGGCCGUGUGGGCCUCAUGCAUCACGUAUGGAUUCAGGUACAGCAGCCUGUUGUGUGCAUGCAAUUGGUGCAAACUGCAGGGGUCCGUGCGGAGAACUUGGCUGCAUUCAUGGAGCCCGUGGUGGAGUAGCUGGCUCCUAUUACAGUUGCGGACACGGUUGUAUAGGAGGUUGUAUCAGUGGUCUCUGCCGCUCUUGCUGUGGUCCGGCUUGUUCCUAAAUUUAGCGAACCAAUUGUAUUCUAAUAUUGUAUACGUCAUUUAAUAAACUCAAAGUUCAAAACAAUAUUUCAAAAAUAUUUUGAAUAUUUUGAUCUUGCUGUGGUCUCCUAAUAUUGUACAUACACGUCUUUUUAUACUCUCAAUGCUCAAGAAUAUUUUACUGUACUCAGAUUUCCGCAUUAAAAACGUCACAUAAAUUAU